AGGUUCAUUGAUCACUGUAUCAUGAAAAUGGAACAUAGUUAUAUAUUAGGUGUUAAAUGCUACAAACUAUUUUUAUUUUUAAACAAGCUGUAAUGAAAAUAUUAUACUUUAAAGUAUACUAUGUCUAACCUUGAUCGGGAUGAGCUCAUGAACUGUUGCACUUGUUUCAAAAUAUCAUCUUGACGUGCCAAUAUAGUUUUCAAGAUUACAAUUAGGAGCAGUAUGGUUAAAGUUUAACAUAAAUGAAAGCUUUGAUCGUUUAAACUUUCACUUCAAUAAAAUAUCAAAAUUGUGGGAAUUUACAAUAACCAGAAACACAACAUCUGACAAAAUUCAGUUAAGGUAAGGAAAUAAAUUAAUUUAGGUCAAUAAUAUAAUAAUAUUGUAGAGAAUCAGGCGAAGCAAAUAAAUUCAAAGAAAGAAGUAAAAU
rnacentral:lncRNA from 1 species